AAUACCCCAUACUCCUUCUUAUCAUAAGGUAAGUUGGGAAAGAUUUAUNAGCUAAAGGAUGGGGCUUUAUUGUAUCAGCUAGUUGGUGGGGUAAUGGCCUACCAAGGCGAUGACGCAUACCUGGUCUGAGAGGAUGAUCAGGCACACUGGAACUGAGACACGGUCCAGACUCCUACGGGAGGCAGCAGUGGGGAAUAUUGCACAAUGGGGGAAACCCUGAUGCAGCAACGCCGCGUGGAGGAUGACGCAUUUCGGUGUGUAAACUCCUUUUAUAAGGGAAGAUAAUGACGGUACCUUAUGAAUAAGCACCGGCUAACUCCGUGC
rnacentral:rRNA from 1 species